UAAAUACCACUGGUUGGGCUUACGUUUUUCACACAGCAGAUCCAGAUACAAGCCUACUCUGAGCUAUAGCUAAUACAUUGCAUUAGUACUAGAAGAGAUUACACUUGUUGUCCCAUCCUCAUCCAUGGCCAAUACCCCGGAUCUCCUGAUCACCCCUUUCGGUGGUGACAACUUGGAGACCGCGGAGCUUAGAAUGCAAAACCUGUAUUUGCACCAUCUCUAUGGCGGAGCAAGCCCAAACCAAGAAGACAUAAUUACCAGAGAUGAUGCCGGCAAGCAUGGAUUUGGCAGCACCGUCGUUCACAAUUGGACAAUAUAUGAUGCUGAUACUGCCGAGAGAACUCUAGUUGCUCGUGCGCAAGGCCUGCAUAUCCUUGCUGGGACCUGGCACCAUUCAUUCACCGUGGUGUUCGAGGAUGGAAGGUUGAAGGGAAGCACUCUAGAGGUAAUGGGAGCAUCCGUCGAAGAACAUAGUCCAUGGGCCAUUGUUGGUGGAACGGGUGACCUCUCAAUGGCACGUGGUGUCAUCAAACGGAGGUAGCAUCGGAAGAUAGAUGGUGGACUGAUUCUGCAGCUUACCAUCCAUGCAUUCUGCGCCCCGGAGAGUUUCCCCGCUUUCGAUACGUCGUCUGUACUAUGGGGUGGAAUCAAGUAUGGUUCAGUUGUCAAAAACAUAGUGAAACCUUGGCGCCUAGAAAGCGUGACCAUUAAAGCCGAGGGUAUA